AGUAAAUAGAUACCCAGGUAGUCCACGCCGUAAACGAUGAAUACUAGGUGUAGGGGUUGUCAUGACCUCUGUGCCGCCGCUAAACGCAUUAAGUAUUCCGCCUGGGGAGUACGGUCGCAAGAUUAAAACUCAAAGGAAUUGACGGGGGCCCGCACAAGCAGCGGAGCAUGUGGUUUAAUUCGAAGCAACGCGAAGAACCUUACCUAGACUUGACAUCUCCUGAAUUACUCUGUAAUGGAGGAAGCCACUUCGGUGGCAGGAAGACAGGUGGUGCAUGGUUGUCGUCAGCUCGUGUCGUGAGAUGUUGGGCUAAGUCCCGCAACGAGCGCAACCCUUAUUGUUAGUUGCUACCAUUUAGUUGAGCACUCUAGCGAGACUGCCCGGGUUAACCGGGAGGAAGGUGGGGAUGACGUCAAAUCAUCAUGCCCCUUAUGUCUAGGGCUACACACGUGCUACAAUGGUCGGUACAAUGAGAUGCAACCUCGCGAGAGUGAGCAAAACUAUAAAACCGAUCUCAGUUCGG
rnacentral:rRNA from 1 species